GAACAUGAGAGUUUGAUCCUGGCUCAGGAUGAACGCUGGCGGCGUGCCUAACACAUGCAAGUCGAACGAAGCGAUUAAGAUGAAGUUUUCGGAUGGAAUCUUGAUUGACUGAGUGGCGGACGGGUGAGUAACGCGUGGAUAACCUGCCUCACACUGGGGGAUAACAGUUAGAAAUGACUGCUAAUACCGCAUAAGCGCACAGUGCCGCAUGGCAGUGUGUGAAAAACUYYGGUGGUGUGAGAUGGAUCCGCGUCUGAUUAGCCAGUUGGCGGGGUAACGGCCCACCAAAGCGACGAUCAGUAGCCGACCUGAGAGGGUGACCGGCCACAUUGGGACUGAGACACGGCCCAAACUCCUACGGGAGGCAGCAGUGGGGAAUAUUGCACAAUGGGCGAAAGCCUGAUGCAGCGACGCCGCGUGAGUGAAGAAGUAUUUCGGUAUGUAAAGCUCUAUCAGCAGGGAAGAAAAUGACGGUACCUGACUAAGAAGCCCCGGCUAACUACGUGCCAGCAGCCGCGGUAAUA
rnacentral:rRNA from 1 species